GCUGGGCAUGGUGGCAUGUGCCUGUAGUCCUAGCUACUUGGGAGGCUGAGGCAGGAGGAUCGCUUGAACCUAGGAGGCGGAGGUUGCAGUGAGCCAAGAUCGCGCCACUGCAUUCCAGCCUGGGUGACAGAGCGAGAUUCCGCCUCAA
rnacentral:SRP_RNA from 1 species